GCACUCGUGCCCGAGUGGUCAAGGGGUCUGACUUGAAUUCAUACACGAUCGAUCAGAUGGGAUCUCCCGCAUAGGUUCGAAUCCUGUCGAGUGCG